rnacentral:rRNA from 1 species
UAUAAGCUUGUUUAUACGGCGAGACUGCGGAUGGCUCAUUAAAUCAGUUAUAGUUUAUUUGAUGGUCUCUUUUGUCUUUUUUUACCUACUUGGAUAACCGUGGUAAUUCUAGAGCUAAUACAUGCGCAAGGUCCCGAGCGCGGGGGGCGGGGCUUCACGGCCUCGUCCUCGCAUGCGCAGAGGGAUGUAUUUAUUAGGUUAAAAACCAGCAGCCGGCAACGGCUUCAAUCUCCUGGUGAUUCAUAGUAACUCUUUCGGAUCGCAUUCAUGCCCUCCUUGUGGGGGCGGCGACGAUUCAUUCAAAUUUCUGCCCUAUCAACUUUCGAUGGUAGGAUAGA